GGUGGCUCAGCAUAGAGCGCUCGCCUCACACGCGAGAGGCCCUGGGUUCGAUCCUCAGCACCA
rnacentral:tRNA from 1 species